rnacentral:rRNA from 1 species
GACGAACGCUGGCGGCGUGCCUAAUACAUGCAAGUUGAGCGCUGAAGGUUGGUACUUGUACCAACUGGAUGAGCAGCGAACGGGUGAGUAACGCGUGGGGAAUCUGCCUUUGAGCGGGGGACAACAUUUGGAAACGAAUGCUAAUACCGCAUAAAAACUUUAAACACAAGUUUUAAGUUUGAAAGAUGCAAUUGCAUCACUCAAAGAUGAUCCCGCGUUGUAUUAGCUAGUUGGUGAGGUAAAGGCUCACCAAGGCGAUGAUACAUAGCCGACCUGAGAGGGUGAUCGGCCACAUUGGGACUGAGACACGGCCCAAACUCCUACGGGAGGCAGCAGUAGGGAAUCUUCGGCAAUGGACGAAAGUCUGACCGAGUAACGCCGCGUGAGUGAAGAAGGUUUUCGGAUCGUAAAACUCUGUUGGUAGAGAAGAACGUUGGUGAGAGUGGAAAGCUCAUCAAGUGACGGUAACUACCCAGAAAGGGACGGCUAACUACGUA